GUAAUUUUUUCCUUUUUAGAAAGACACUUUAGAUUUGCAGGUGUCCUAUUAUCCCACAAAAUUUGUAAAGACCAUUGUAAAUACAAGCGUUUGACCAAGUUUCAACCCAUCUGAGUUAUCAUGCAAGUCACACGUGUGAAUGAGCAAUAUUUUCUGCAAGUCCCAAUUAAAAAAUGUCAUGUGAAAAGGGCUUUAUAUUUUUUAAUAAAUGUCAUGUUCUCUUCUUCUCCAAUUCUCCAUUAAUGGAUGUUGGAAAAGCUUGGAAGAUUUAUGCAAAAGAAAACGCUCCUUCUCAAUGAAAUCAAAUUAAAAAGGUGGAAGAGGUAGACAUUGGGUAUCUUGGAAUUCUCUGUGUCUUCCAAAAGCAGGAGGAGGAUUGGGUUUUAGAAAAAUACAGGAUGUAUCAACAACUCUUUUCUGUAAGCUGUGGUGGAAUUUCAUAACACAGAAGUCUAUAUGGAGUACUUAUAUGAUAAACAAGUACUGCAGAAAGUAUCAUCCAAAGGAAGUUGAAUGGAAGGCAGGUUGUGGUUCUCACGUGUGGAAGAAAAUAUUGCAAGGGAGUUAAUAGACUAUCUCAUCAUUUGGCAAGUCAAAAGAGGGGAUGUUCAUUUGUGGUAUGAUAAUUAGAGUGGAUUAUGAGAUUUGUAUACUAUCAUUGAGGAGAGUUAUGAAUCGGUUGAAAGAUACCAGUGGGUGAAGAACAUAAUGACUAAUGGUAGGUGGAAUGAAGAAACUUUAAGAAGUAUUUUUGCAGAGGAUAUAGUAGCACAUGUGAUGAAUAAAGUUAGAAUAAGGGGAUUUAAUGAUACAGACAAGCCAAUUUAGAGUUUGGAGGCAAGAGGUAACUUUACAGUAAAAUCUGCUUGGAACUAUGUAAGGCAGAGGGGAGAAUCCAAUGAAUUUUACAAGCAAUUAUGGAUAAAAGGGAUGCUUUUCAAAAUUGUAUUUUUUAUGUGGAGAAUGUGGAAAGGGGGGAUUUUUGUGGAUGAUAAUGUAAGAAGAUGAGGGGUUCAUGGCCCUUCCAAGUGUUGGUGUUAUCAAAACCCAACACAAGAGACCAUUGCACAUGUGCUAGUGAGAUCAUAUUCAGCUAACAGGACUUGGUCCUAUUUUUUUCUUUUGUGGGAAUAAAUAUACAAAGAAGGAGCUUAAGAGAGAUAAUCUAUGCUUGGUGGAAUGCUUGGGUAAAACAAAGAGAGGAGGCAUAUUUCAGAGCUAUACCAGCAAUUAUAAUGUGGGAAUUAUAGAGGAGAAGAAACAACAAAAAACAUAAAGGGAAGGAAGUCAGCAUGCCUAGGUUGAUUUUCAAUGUUACAAGACAGCUAAGGAUGCUUCUUAAAGUGAGAAAACCAUUGCUGCAGUUUGCCACAGAGUGGCCAGUCAUAUUACAUCAACUAAGUCAGUUAAAACCUAGAGUUAUAAACAAAAUUGUACUUUGGGAAUUACCAGAACAUGGUUGGUUUAAAUAUAACACAGAUGUUGCAUCUAAAGAGAACCCAGGGAACUCAUAGGCCUUUUGCUUAAGGGAUGAAAAUGGAGACCUAAUGCAUGCUGAGGAAGCAAUUAUGAAAGAUACAGAUAACAUGAUAGCAGAAGAAGAAGCUAUUAAACAAGCAACACAGUAUUAUAGUCAGUCAAAACAAAACAAGAUUACCAUACAGCCGGAUUCAUUGGCUACGCAGAAGUUCUUAAAUCAAGAAUGGGAAGUACCAUGGAUUCUAACAGAUACAGCGAACAGGGUAAGGAUGCUACUACAGUACAAGCAGGUACAAUUUAGUCACAUAUACAAAGAGGGCAAUCAAGUGGUUGAUUACUUAGCUAACUUAGCAUUUGAAAAGAAAUAGUUCACUUUACAGCUUUCACCUAGCUACCAAGUGCAGGUAGAAAGUUACUGAACAGUGACAAGCAAUAAUUUCCAUAUCUGAGGCUAAAAGUAGCAACAUGCUAAUAGAAUUGGAAAGGCUACAACAAAUGUUUUCACUAACAUCUUAUAUACAAAUAGUGCUAAACAAAAAAGUGAAAAUGUUAUGCCUAUCUACAUCAGCCAACAAAAAGAGAAUCUCAAUAGACCAGGGGUCACCAAGUCAGAUUGAAUGCAAGCAGCUGAAUUUCUGGUUCCUCUUCAACUAUCAACGGGUCCGAGCUUCCCAAUAUCUCCAUCCCAA